rnacentral:rRNA from 1 species
GAUGAACGCUGGCGGCGUGCCUAAUACAUGCAAGUCGAGCGAACGGACGAGAAGCUUGCUUCUCUGAUGUUAGCGGCGGACGGGUGAGUAACACGUGGAUAACCUACCUAUAAGACUGGGAUAACUUCGGGAAACCGGAGCUAAUACCGGAUAAUAUUUUGAACCGCAUGGUUCAAAAGUGAAAGACGGUCUUGCUGUCACUUAUAGAUGGAUCCGCGCUGCAUUAGCUAGUUGGUAAGGUAACGGCUUACCAAGGCAACGAUGCAUAGCCGACCUGAGAGGGUGGUCGGCCACACUGGAGCUGAGACACGGACCAGACUCCUACGGGAGGGAGCAGUAGGGAAUCUUCCGCAAUGGGCGAAAGCCUGACGGAGCAACGCCGCGUGAGUGAUGAAGGUCUUCGGAUCGUAAAACUCUGUUAUUAGGGAAGAACAGAUGUGUAAGUAACUGUGCACAGCUUGACGGUACCUAAUCAGAAAGCCACGGCUAACUACGUG